GGUGGUUCUUGGGUGAUGCACCCCGGAAUUGGGCUCCCUCCUCUCUGGUUUUGGGUGCAUCACCUGAGAACCACA
rfam:Myotis brandtii contig260821, whole genome shotgun sequence.